GGGUCACGGGCAGCUUCGAAUGCAGGCAAGGCCUUGGGAAGGCUAAGGCGCCGAUGGGUCACCGACUUGGGAAGCACAAGGCGUCCCUAACAUGGCGGGGGAGAAUGGGCAAGCCAAGCUCGAGCACAUAGCAAUGCAUAAGCCACCCCAAGAGAUCUUUGCCCGAUAUAGGGAACCUGGUUUUAGAGUCGUUGGCUACAUUUCUAUGGGCACGGGUUUUACCAGCCAAAAAAUCAUCACCCCGGCCACUAGCGUCAGCGAUCGACCCACCACCGUUAGUGAGUCAUUGCGGGUCUAUCCGAACCCCGUGGGGGCUGUGGACGUACCCCACCUCGGGUUCGAGAGGGGGCCACGUCGGGGGGCAGCGGAUCUCUACCCCUUAAAGAGCUAAAAAACUUUAUCAAUCUGCUACCAGGCAACAUUCGUAUGUCUGAAACGAGGACACUUUUCGUUAGCCCGCACAUCCGAGGCACCAGGGUGCCCCUGCUGCUCGAGGCACCCGCACAUCCAACGUCCUAGGUUUCCGAUGGUGUCCGAGGCUCCCGCACAUCCAAGGCACCAAGGUGCCGAUAGUGCCCGAGGCUCCCGCACGACCAAGGUCCUAGGUUGCCGAUGGUGUCCGAGGGUUCCGCACAUCCAAGCACCAAGGUGCCGAUGGUGCCCGAGGUUCUUGCACGAUCAAGGCCUAGGUUGCCGAUGGUGCCCAAGGCUCCCGGACGACCAGGGACCUACGUUGCAGAUGGUGUCCGAGGCUCCCGCACAUCCAUGCACCAAUAUGCCGAUGGCGGCCGAGGCUCCCGCACGACCAAGGGCCUAGGUACCGAUGGUCCGGAGGCUCUCGCACGACCAAGGGCCUUGGUUGUCGAUGGCGCCCGAGGCUCCCGCACGACUAGGGGCCUAGGUUACCGAUGGUGCCCCAGGCUCCCGCACGACCAAGGGCCUAGGUUGCCGAUGGUGCCCGAGGCUCCCGCACGACCAAGGGCCUAGGUUGCCGAUGGUGCCUGAGGCUCCCGCACGACCAGGGGCCUAGGUUGCUGAUGGUGCCCGAGGCUCCCGCACGACCAAGGGCCUAGGUGCCAAUGGUGCCCGAGGCUCCCGCACGACCAAGGGCCUAGGUUGUCGAUGGUACCGAGGCUCUCGCACGACCAGGGGCCUAGGUUGUCGAUGGAGGCCGAGGCUCCCGCACGACCACGGGCCUAGGUUGCCGAUGAUGUCUGAGGCUCCCUCACGACCAAGGGCCUAGGUGCCGAUGGCGGCUGAGGCUUCCGCACGACCAAGAGCCUAGUUUGUCGAUGGUGCCAGAGGCUCCCGCACGACCAGGGGCCUAGGUUACCGAUGGUGCCCGAGGCUCCCGUACGACCAAGGGCGUAUGUUACCGACGAUGCCCGAGGCACACGCACAUCCCAGCACCAGGGUACCGAUGGUGCCCGAGGCUCCCGCACUACCAAGGGCCAAGGUGCCGAUGGUGCCCGAGGCUCCCGCAUGAACAAGGGCCUAGGUUGCCGAUGGUACCGAGGCUCUCGCACGACCAGGGGCCUAGGUUGCCGAUGGUGCCUGAGGCUGCUGCACGACCAAGGGCCUAGGUAACCAAUGGUGACCAAGGCUCCCGCACAUUCAAGCACCAAGGUGCCGAUGGUGCCAGAGGCUCCCAUACGACCAAGGGGCUAGGUGCCGACGGUGCCUGAGGCUCCCGCACGACCGACAUCCUAGUUCGCCGAUGGCGUCCAUGGCUCCAGCACGUCCAAGUAGGAAUGUGCCGAUGCUCCCGCACCAUCGACGUCCUAGGUUACCAAGGGUGCCUGAUGCUUCGGCACGACCAAGGGCCCAAGGUCCCGGAGGCUCUUAUUCCAAAAGGGGAGGAACCAAAAUGAUUCUAAAGGGGAGGGACCGGGACAACUUGUAGUAUCGUUUUCGAUAUUCUGGGAUGGCUCGCUGAAGCACUGCCAGAAUGGAUCGCCGGAGCACCGCCAGGAACCUAACCGGAGAUGGGGGCACCGACAUCUGGGCAUGAAAUGGGCGUGGGCAGUGCUCUGGACAACCCCUGUUCGCCUCAAUAUCACCUCCCCCCUAAAGAGUUAAAAAAACUUGGUCAAUCUGCUACCAGACGACAUUCAUGUGUCUGAAACAGGGACACUUUAUGGUGCCGACGCUUCUGCACCAACGGGGGCCCAAAAUUAGCUUUGGUGCUCGACCCUCCCGCACAUGCGAUGCAUCAAGGUGCCGAUGCUGCCCGAUGCUCCGACACAUCAAAGGGGUCGGUGGUGCCCGAUGGCCCCGCACCAUAGGAUGGCAUACACUGUCGAUAGUGUACGAGGCUACCGUACGACCGGGGGCCAAAGAUGCCGGAGGCUCUUGUUGCAAAAGGGAGGGAUAGGGACGAUUCAUUCAUUGUUGGGUACUGGACAUGCAACGGUAUCCGAAUCCUACCUUUGGGACUAUUCAUUCAUUAUUGGGUACCGAACAUGUAACGGUAUCUGAAUUCUACCUUUUGAGAUUGGGGAGUGACUCGUUGCGUCGUUUUGUAUAUCCCGGGAUGGCUCACCGAAUCAUCACCGGGAUGGAUCGUUGGAGCACUGCAGGGAACCUAACCGGUGGUGGGGGGCACCGAUGUCUGGGCAUGCGAUGGGCAUGGGUAGUGCCCUGGAUAACCCCUGGCUGCUCAAUAUCACUUCCCCCCUAAAGAGCUAAAAAAACUUGGUCAAUGUGCUACCAGUCGACAUUCAUGUGUUUGAAACAGGGACAGGUGUUCCAGAUGUCUGAAAUAGGGACACUUUUUCAGCCCAACGCUCCCGCACAUCUGAGGCACCAAGGUGCCGAUGUUGCCCGAUGACCCGCACCAUGGGAUGGCCUACGUUGCGGAUGUUGCCCGAGGCUCCCGUACAUGCCUGAAAUGGGGGCAAUUUUUUUUACGCCACUUACACUUAGUAUUUUUAAUUGAAAAUUUUUUCUAUUGGCCCAAAAGAAAUACAAGAAGCCGAAUGAAAUAUGGCAUGAUGGCACGGCAGAAAAUUGAACAAGUGCCCGGGCUUCCAAUAGUUGGGAGCUCGCAGUCGCACCACCACGACCCCCGUUGUGCCAUGUUUCUCGAGUAGGUGGCACGACCAAGUGCUUAACUUAGAAAUUUUUUCUGUUGGCCCAAAAAAAAUACAAGAAGUACGGCAUGGCAUGGCACGGCAUGGCACGGCACAGCAGAAAAUUAAACAAGUGCCCUAACCGCCGACACUUGAGAGCUCGCACCAACACCACCACGGCCCCCGUUGUGCCAUGUUUCCCGAGGGGGCGGCAUGGCCAAGUGUUUAACUAACUCCUUACACUAAGUCCCCCACUUGGGGACCCCAGGGUCGGGACGUGCAAAAGAACAAGGGUGGAUCGGAAGAGAGAUAGGGGAGGGACGAAUCGAAGCGACAAAGGGCUGAAUCUCAGUAGAUCGUGGUAGCAAGGCCGCUCUGCCACUUACAAUACCCCAUCGCAUUUUUAAGUCUUCUGCAAAAGAAUUCUACCCGUCGCUCUGUGGAAAUUAUGCUCCAAGGAGGCACCCGCGACUUGUCUGCCACAGUCGUUGCACCUACGACACGUACCCUUGGGGGCCAAAGGCCAUUACUGAGGGUCGGGAAUCGGGCGACAGGCGCGUGCGUCGCUUCUAGCCCUGAUUUUAACUUAGAGGCGUUCAGUCAUAAUCUAGCGCAGGGUAGCUUCUCGCCACUGGCUUUUCAACCAAGCGCGGUGACCAAUUGUGCGAAUCAACGGAUCCUCUCGUACUAGGUUGAAUUACUAUUGCGACGCGGCCAUCAGUAGGGUAAAACUAACCUGUCUCACGAUGGUCUAAACCUAGCUUACGUUUCCUAUUUGUGGUUGAACAAUCCAACACUUGGUGAAUUCUGCUUCAAUGAUAGGAAGAGCCGACAUCGAAGGAUCAAAAAGUAAAGUCGCUAUGAACGCUUGGCUGCCACAAGCCAGUUAUCCCUGUGGUAACUUUUCUGACACCUCUAGCUUCAAAUUCCGAAGGUCUAAAGGAUCGAUAGGCCACGCUUUCACGGUUCGUAUUCGUACUAGAAAUCAGAAUCAAACGAGCUUUUACCCUUUUGUUCCACAUAAGAUUUCUGUUCUCGUGGAGCUCAUCUUAGGACACCUGUGUUAUCUUUUAACAAAUGUGUCACCCCAGCCAAACUCCCCACCUGACAAUGUCUUCAGCCUCGAUCGGCCGGUCGAAGCCGACCUUGGGUCCAAAAAGAGGGGCCGUGCCCCCUCUGACUCACGGAAUAAGUAAAAUAAUGUUAAAAGUAGUGGUAUUUCAAUUUCGCUUGAGAGCUCCCACUUAUCCUACACCUCUUAAGUCAUUUCUCAAAGUCGGACUAGAGUCAAGCUCAACAGGGUCUUCUUUCCCCGCCGAUUCUGCCAAGCCCAGUCCCUUGGCUUUGGUUUCGUUGAAUAGUAGACAGCGAUAGUGGGAAUCUCGUUAAUCCAUUCAUGCGCGUCAAUAAUUAGAUAACGAGGCAUUUGGCCAUCUUAAGAGAGUCAUAGUUACUCCCGCCGUUUACCUGCGCUUGGUUGAAUUUCUUCACUUUGAUAUUCAGAGCACUGGGCAAAAAUCACAUUGCGUGAGCAUCCGCAAGGACCAUUGCAAUGCUUUGUUUUAAUUAAACAGUCGGAUUCCCCUUGUUCGUACCAGUUCUGAGUUGACUGUUCAUCGCCCGGGGAAGGCCCCCGAAGGAGCCGCUCCCAGUCCGUCCCUUGGCCGGCACGCGGCGACCCGCUCUCGCUGCAGAAGCAGCUCGAGCAGUGCACCUGUAGCCAAUAGGUUCGAGACUAGGACCCCUGUGCCCAGCCCUCAGAGCCAAUCCUUUUUCCGAGGUUACGGAUCUAUUUUGCCGACUUUGCCUGAGGCUCCCGCACAACCAAGGGCCUAGGUUGCCGAUGGUAUCGAGGCUCCCGCACGACCAAGGGCCUAGGUUGCCGAUGGUGACCGAAGCUCCCGCACAUCCAAGCACCAAGGUGCCGAU
rnacentral:lncRNA from 1 species